UAUCUCUGUAGAGUCUGCAUAUCAAUAAGCGGAGGAAAAGAAACUAACAAGGAUUCCCCUAGUAACGGCGAGUGAAGCGGGAAGAGCUCAAAUUUGAAAUCUUAAAGGGUUUCCCUUUACGAAUUGUAGUUUAAAGAAGUGUUUUCUGUUGAGGUUUUGGUAAAAGUUCUUUGGAAUAGGACAUCAUAGAGGGUGAGAAUCCCGUAUUUGACCUUUACUUUCAACUUUGUGAUACACUUUCAAAGAGUCGGAUUGUUUGGGAAUGCAGUCCCAAAAUGGGUGGUAAAUUUCAUCUAAAGCUAAAUAUUGGCGAGAGACCGAUAGCGAACAAGUACCGUGAGGGAAAGAUGAAAAGAACUUUGAAAAGAGAGUUAAACAGUACGUGAAAUUGUCAAAAGGGAAGCGUUUGACACCAGUGUUGUUUUUCUGAAAAUCAAUUAAAGAACUGUUUAUGCUAAGCUGUUUAGACUUUAUCAGCUACCUGUUUAGUUUUGAGCUUUUCUUUAAUGCACUUUUCAGUUAACAAGUCAACAUCAAUUUCUUUUGCUGUAAAAAAGCUUGAGGAAGGUGGCUUGAGAUUCGUCUUAAGUGUUUAUAGCCUCUUGCCUAUGCAGUCGGAGAGAUUGAGGUCUGCAGCGUAGAUCCUUCGGGGCUAAGUGCAUUUGUGCUAAGUUAUAGCAUUUUAUAGACAACUUGUUGACUAUGAUUUGUCUUGUAGCUUACUCGCUUAUGUUAUUUUACCUACGCUUAGGAUGUUGACGAUCAGCUGAGCGCG
rnacentral:rRNA from 1 species